UAUUGCUUAUUAUGGUUGCUGCCAGAGUGGCUAACAAUUGCACACAGUAGUGGGGGUGUCAAUUUGAUUCCUAUCUGAUUGGAGUUCAUUAAAAUUUUGAUGCAAGGACCUUACUUAUCUCCCUGAAGUGGAUUUCAUGCGUUUGAUCCCCAAAUUGCUAUAUGCCUAUCCAUUCAUAACUGUCUUAAAGUUAAAUAAAUAGAUGUGUUGAGGGCGACGACACAUCCUGGUCCAAAGAUGGGGAAUGGUUUAAAAAGAGGAAUCUGUUUUGAAGUUCACAUAUAUAUUAUCGCAACAGUAUGUGUGGUACGUUUUCUUAAACUUAAUCCUCAUCUCUUCUCUAAUGCUUUACCAUAAAUCAACCGAUUCUAUUCAUAAUUGCCCUACUUUCUUCCUAUCUCAGUUUAGUUUCCCCCAAUCUUUUUCUUUGUUAAUGAACUAUAUUGUCUUGAUGUGCAUGUGCUAGUGACAACAUAUAUAUUGUAUUUAGCUGGAAGAACAAUUUGAAUAAUUCAAUAGAGUUUAAUAGAAGUUUUUAAAGUUGAUGAAAUGGGAAGAUUCUACUUAGGAACAGCAUAUAGCAAUUGUGAUUCCUCAUAGCUGAUGUAUGUGCUCCCAUACAAUGCC